CUGUAAGCAACAUUUCAUUUCUCCCUGGCUGCUUUAAACAUUUUUCUGUUUUAUCUUGGACUCCAAGUAUACAAAUGUGAGCUCUUUUGUUAUUGACCCAUGAGACUCUGCUGCCCUAUAAUUGUUUUCUCUGUUUUUCAGAUGGAACAAAUUCCACUGAGCUAUCCUCAAGGUCACGGAUUCCAUCCUCUGUCACCUCCACUUCAUUGAGAUGACAUAUUGAGCCCAUGCAUAGCCUUUUAUUUGAGGUAAUCCCAGCACCUGAGUCAUCUUUAUGUUGGAGUCUC
rnacentral:lncRNA from 10 species